UACGUAGGGUGCGAGCGUUGUCCGGAAUUACUGGGCGUAAAGAGCUCGUAGGUGGUUUGUCGCGUUGUUCGUGAAAACCUGGGGCUUAACUCUGGGCGUGCGGUCGAUACGGGCAUCACUAGAGUUCGGCAGGGGAGACUGGAAUUCCUGGUGUAGCGGUGAAAUGCGCAGAUAUCAGGAGGAACACCGGUGGCGAAGGCGGGUCUCUGGGCCGAUACUGACGCUGAGGAGCGAAAGCAUGGGUAGCGAACAGG
rnacentral:rRNA from 1 species